rnacentral:rRNA from 1 species
GAUAUUAUGCUAUUAUAGGUUUGUGAAAUAUAGUUAUUAGGUAUAAGUGAAGAGCAAACAACUAAUAAUAUUAAUUCUCAUGAUCAAUAAAUAUUAAGAAGUCUGGUAAGUUAAGAAUAUAAACCAGGAUCAGAUACCCUGACUAUAUAUAAAUGGAAAUACGUAGUAGACCCGGGUAGUAUUCAGUUAUUAUCUUGUAAGGCCCAAAGAGUGUGGCGGUACCUGCAGGUCUAGUUAUGAGGAGCUAGAUUGCCGUAAUCGAUAAUCCUCACAAUAUCUUACACACUUUAGUAGUCAGUGUAUAUACCGUCGUUGUCAGAUAAUACUUAAAGGUAAAAAAUAAUCAUAAAUAUAAAUAAUUAUAAUAUAUCAGAUCAAGGUGUAACUUAUAAGUGUGAGUUGAAUGAACGACAAUUUAUGUUAUAAAAAUGAAAAUUAAUGUGAAAAUAUAUAAUGGAAGAGUGGAUAUAAUAGUAAUCUUGUUUAUAAUAAGACAAUAAUGAUAAAAGCUCUGAGGUAUGUACACAUCGCCCGUCGCUCUCCCUAUAAAGUGAGAUAAGUCGUAACAUAGUAGGGGUACUGGAAAGUGCCCCUAGAAUG